GUUAGAAAAGUGAAGCAUUUCGUCUCUCUAUUGUCUCAUCUAAAGCCUUUCGUCUCUCAAGUCUUAAACCUAGAAAAAAUCGCUAUCGACGAACUGUGCGGCCUGCUCCGGCGAAGGAAGAUCCAUUCCGACGAAGGACAACCAUUUUGGCUAAUAUAAGGGAAUCUCAGAUGUAGGUUGUCGGUAUUUUACCCAUGUUCGAUAUUUUCUAUGGUUGUUUGAUGUUCGCUAUUGUUUCGCUGGAAAAUUGUUUCGCUACUUCUUCUGUUUUCUUUCUCUGCUGAUUUAGCGGAGCAAUUUUUUCAUGGGAUUCUUCUGCUUGGGCCAUAUCAGAUAGAGGUUUAUUUUUUCAUACAAGUAAUAUAUUGUGUGAAUUUGCAUUGGUCAUAGCGACAAAAUAGGAUCUGUUCAUGAGUGAUGAAAGUAAAACUGACUUCCUUAGUGUCAUGUUUUAAAGUUAUUUGUAUAUACCCCGUUAAAUAUCAUAUACGAUUUGACAUACUUAGUCCCCAUUUAGGAAUCCAUUUAUUAGGACUCACUUGUUUCCAAUUUAAGGUAAUGAGCUCUCUUUCUAGUUUAAAUUUCUACUCAAUUCACCUUUUCACUUUUCCAAUAGUAGGAUCUAGAACUAGGAAACUAGCAAAAACAUAGCAGAGUCUUUAUUAUAUUAACAAAUUCCCAGCAGAGUUAACUUUUUUUCAAAAUAUGGUAAAAUCCCUACAAUUAAGGAAACUGACUAAUUAUGAAAUUAAUUCAAACCUAAAAGAUAUCCAUUUAGUAUGAUAUUAAUUAACCACUUAUUAAGAGAUAUUAUGUUAUUUCAAAUCGCUUCGUAGAUCUCUUCUUUAGAGUAAGAAUUUUCUGUUGUUUAUUCAUAGUCAUAUUGAUCACCUUCAUAGUUUUUCACCUUUUUCAUCUUCUUGCUGAUGCUUUUUCCUACACUCAUAUCCAUCAUCAUCUUCACAACAUUAUUAUUAUAUAGUAUAUAUUGUAUGAUAUAUAGUAAUUGUGGGAAAAGAGAAGUUUGGUGAUAAGACAUACAAUAAAGGAAUUUGACAGAAUGGUUCCUUCUGUACUACAAUUAACUAUAAUAAAGUGAUCUGGUAUAGUGAUUCUAAAGAAAUCAUAUACCUUGUGCUUUGAGCUUGUUAUGUAUUUCAGAAAUGAAACUCGAAUGCAACAUAUUCUUGAAGAUGUUCCAGCUUCUCAGUUUAAGGAACUCCUUAGGUAUUGGAACUCUGAGAAACUCCAGGUAUGUGACUUUUUACUUGUUCUUCUUCGUCUUCUUGAACUUCUUCUUAAAAUUCUUCUUCUUUUUCUUCUUUCUGGAGAUGUUUUCUCCUUCUUCUUGGCCAUUGCUGUUGUCUUUCCCUUCUUUCUCUGCUUCACUGCUGCUGUUUUUUUUCUUUUCGUUUUUCACUUUGUUGCUACUGCAUAUACACUCUGCUCGCCGCUGUUGCUAUUUUUAAAGACUAGCCAAAGACCUUGCAAUCUGAAAUUUCCUAUAACUACUAAACAAAAUACAAUCAUAAUUGGACAAGGUGUACAACAUCAAAAGACGAUUAAGCUAUAAGCAGAAACGAUUAAAAGCAGAUAUAACUUGGAAAUAUUGUAGAAUGCCAAAAUUGAAGAUGUCUUGGCUUCAUCAGAAGUGUCAAAUUUCUAGUCAUUGAGUACUAUUGUGGAGAUAUUAUUGCAGUUGCUCCAUACUCAUGAUUGAAGCAAGAAAACCACUAGUUUGGACCAAAAAACUCUGCAGAAAACUUCAGCAAAUAAUAGCAUGUAGGCAGAAUGCUGGGACAAAAAUGACCUAGAAUGAGAAAAGUAUCACAAUAGGUUUCUUUCUUUAUUUUUCUACUAUAUUAGAAGUGCGAGUGCACUAGGUGAAGCAGGGUGGUCUUCGUCGACAUGCCUGCUUUACCUAAAAUAUAUUUGCCACUCCUUUUGUAUAUUAUUACCCCAGUUGCCAUCACAAAGUUUUGUAAAUAUUUGAAACUUCUUAGUCAUUCUCAGGGCCCAUAUUGUCAGCCCCAAUCCCAUUUGUGCUGUAUUUCCUGACUGUCUGCCUUAUAGAAAAUAUCUUGGUCCCUGCUUUUAUAUUUUAUUACUUCAAUUGCCAUCGUACAUUUUAGUAAAUAAAGAAAACAUUUGAGGCAUUUUUAAGGCCCAAAUUGUCAGCCUCAAUUGUGUUGUAUGUAGAGAUUUUACUCCACGUGAAACCAAACAUUUGCUCCGUAUUUUUGAAGCUAAGCUUAAACAGAAACAAGAAUAGAAAGAUCCUUAAACUUUGUUUGAAAUGAAAAACAAUGUCUAGAACCUGGUGGUAACCAUUGAAAGACUUAUUAAUACUUUACUAUUGUUUCACUCAUUAGUUCUUAAUUAUAACAUCGAGCAAAAUUAAUAAAAAGGGAAAAAGAUGAUUCAUUCUUAAUUUAGUAUUCUUCUAUACUUUAUCGUAUCAACUUUUGUAUACUCGAGCUUAAUUAUUUAUUCAACAUGUUUACUACUAAACUUAAAAAUAUAGUCAUCUAUUAGUUCCUAAUCAGUGUUAUUUGUCAAAGCUUUUGAUAGAGUUGUGAUAUUAAAGCAACUGAGCUACACAAAUGAUUUUUUAGAAUGAUCAUGUCCAAAUGGUUUCACUACCUAGCAAUAAAAUGAUGAAUUGGGUCAUUAUUGAUUUCUUUCAACUUUGAUCGUACUCAAAAUAUAAGUUAUUAAUGUAAGUUAUUAAUUUUAAUAUAAAAAUAAUAUCUCCUCGAAAUAUAUCUUACACUCACUCAUUAUUUAUAACUAUCUUUUUUUUAUAACCGUGGUGUUCGGGCAAGCUUGCGUGCACCUCGACUAAUUCCACGGGAUACCUGCAACCUCCCACCAGCAACAUGUACCAGGUAACUCUAUCCACCAAGGCUUGGAUAGAUGGGAAGAAAUCACUUAGUGUUUGCAUCCGUUGGAAUUUGAACCUCAGACCUCAUGGUUCUCACCCACUUCAUUGACCACUAGGCCACACCUUUGGGUGCUAUUAUUUAUAUCUAUCUUUAAUAUCAUACUCGAAAUUUAAAUAUAAUAACUCUAUCUAAAAAUUUAGCUAAAAUUAUUGAAUCGUCAAAUGAUAUGUAGUGUUCAAUCUAGAGAAAGUUGACACAUAAAGGAUGUUUUAAAUAGUAUUUAUUCAUUAGCAAAUAUAGACAAAGCACACCUAAGCAGUUAAAUAUUUUGCGAAGUUUCCCUUGAUGUUUGAGAACAUUGAUUAAAAGUUAAUAUUUUUUACACGAUAUGUUCUAUGAAAGCACUAGUUAAAAUAGUAUAAUAUUAGAAUUUUAUUUUAUUUUAAAUAGUACUUUUAAUUGCAAUGUGCGCACGGGCUUUAUUGCUCCUAGUAAACAAAGAGACGAAGAGUUUAGCAGCAUCUAAUAAGAUCAAUUAAGGCGAUUCCAUUUCGAAUGUCAUAGAUAGAAACAGAGAAGCUAGGACAUGAUUACUGUUGUCGAAGUCGUCUGCCCAUUGAUGUCAAUAUUAGAAAUGUGCUCUCUUCAUUAACCAACAAUAUUUGGCUGACAGAAACAUUAAAGCAUAUACUCUAUCAUGACAAUAUCAUAACUGCUUUGAAAUACUCGCAGUGUGCCCUCAUGAAAUUGUCUCCAUUAGAUUACGACCAAGAAAUAACACUAUCAGCUAGGGAAUAAAAUCAUCUUGAACAUUAAUUUCCUUGAUUGAUGAUAUUUUAAGGAUAAAAUUUCUUUGAGUGAGAUACUUAGGGGACUAGUCAGGCAAAAAGAACUCCAGUAAUGUCUAUUAAACAUAUAAUUCUGAUUACCACACUCUGAAAAUGACAAACCAAAAUAUUCCUCUAACAACAAAAGAUGGUCUAUCAGGAUAGCUACAAGCUGUAACAUCCUCAAGAACAAAGCCAAUAACAAAGCUAGAUGAAUGUUGAAAGAAACUAGAAAAAUAGAAAUUACAUAACAAUGGAUGGGGGUUGCAAGAACUUCUUUGAGAGGGAAAGUAGGAUGUUAUGAACCAUCUUCAAAUACUUCAAAUUCUAUACAAAAAUCGAAGGAGAAGAUACAAAAGAAUGGAGGAAAAAAUUGAGGAACAAAAGGGAACUAUCCGUCAAGAAGUUAUUGCAGAUGUCCUUGCACGACUUCAGCGUUCAAGAAUUGAUAUUGAUGCUAACAUUAUUCUAGCGGCAUUGGGUGAUAAUUCAUCGGGAGAAGCUUCAUCUGCACAACAAACAACUUUGCAACCAAUCCGUCAUCCAUCUACUGGAAGCAACAAAGAAGGCCAACUCAUUCUAGGUGCAACAGUUGCGGUUGAAAGCAGUGAUGAAGACCUUACUUAGUGUUGUUGAUAGUUGUUAGACUUUCUAUCAUCAUGUUCAAGGAUAUUUUAGUUUAGAACUUUUUGUAUACAAAUUGAAACUCAUCUACUUUGACUUUUGAGUUGUUGACCAAACAAUGUAUUCAUAUUUUGUUUUUGUAUAUGGAUAAUGCGAGUUGGAUAUUUUAAUCUUA